rnacentral:lncRNA from 1 species
ACGAUGAAUCGGGAAGAAAAUCCUGCGAGAAAAAUCCCGUAGGGAAUAAGGUAGCCCACGCGGGUGCUAGGCACUAUGCGCGCGCGCAUGCGAGCACAGUAGCCGCGGGACAUGAGCAUAACGUGCACGUCCCCUCCACACGCACACAUGCAUGGGACGUGCGCACAACACGCACUUUGCGGGGUUAGGACCUGUGCGCAUUCUGUCGUGCGUAGGAGGGCCAUCCGCGCAUCACCUCGCACGUGAUCCCAGUGUGCGGCGCAUCAUCCGUGCUGUAGGCCUGUGAGAAUAGGCUCUGUGCAUCUGGGGCCUGCGCGCGUGGUGCCCAGUGUGCGGCGCCCAAUGCACUAGGCCCUGCAUGCACGGCGCCCAGCGUGCCCAAGCCCUGCGCAUGUGGCGCCAAGCAUGCUGGGCACGACAGGAGGACUGUGCGUCUGCAGGCUAGCCUGCAAUGCACCGACC